rnacentral:rRNA from 2 species
ACGAGACUCAUCCGAGGCCUCGUAAUCGGAAUGAGUACACUUUAAAUCCUUUAACAAGGACCAAUUGGAGGGCAAGUCUGGUGCCAGCAGCCGCGGUAAUUCCAGCUCCAAUAGCGUAUAUUAAAGUUGUUGCGGUUAAAAAGCUCGUAGUCGAAUCUGUGUCCCGCACUGUCGGUUCACCGCUCGCGGUGUUCAACUGGCAUGUUUGCGGGACGUCCUGCCGGUGGGUCCCCAAUUGCAAUCCCGUCGCGGUGCACUUAGCUGUGUGUCGAGGUGGGCCGGUACGUUUACUUUGAACAAAUUAGAGUGCUUAAGGCAGGCUCAAAUUUCGCCUGAAUAUUGUGUGCAUGGAAUAAUGGAAUAGGACCUCGGUUCUAUUUUGUUGGUUUUCGGAACGCCGAGGUAAUGAUUAAUACGGACAGAUGGGGGCAUUCGUAUUGCGACGUUAGAGGUGAAAUUCUUGGAUCGUCGCAAGACGGACAGAAGCGAAAGCAUUUGCCAAAAAUGUUUUGAUUGAUCAAGAACGAAAGUUAGAGGUUCGAAGGCGAUCAGAUACCGCCCUAGUUCUAACCAUAAACGAUGCCAGCUAGCGAUCCGCCGAUGUUCCUCCGAUGACUCGGCGGGCAGCUUCCGGGAAACCAAAGCUUUUGGGUUCCGGGGGAAGUAUGGUUGCAAAGCUGAAACUUAAAGGAAUUGACGGAAGGGCACCACCAGGAGUGGAGCCUGCGGUUUAAUUUGACUCAACACGGGAAACCUCAC